rnacentral:rRNA from 1 species
GACGAAGGGGGCUAGCGUUGUUCGGAAUUACUGGGCGUAAGGCGCGUGUAGGCGGUUGUCCAAGUUGGAUGUGAAAGCCUUGAGCUUAACUCAAGAAAUGCAUUCAGGACUGGAUGACUAGAGGACCGGAGAGGAUAGUGGAAUUCCCAGUGUAGUGGUGAAAUACGUAGAGAUUGGGAAGAACACCAGUGGCGAAGGCGGCUAUCUGGACGGUUUCUGACGCUAAGACGCGAAAGCGUGGGGAGCAAACAGG